CGUGUAGGCGGCUUUGGCAAGUCGGGUGUGAAAGCCCGGAGCUCAACUCCGGAACUGCACUCGAAACUGCCUCGCUCGAGUCCCGGAGAGGGUGGUGGAAUUCCCGGUGUAGAGGUGAAAUUCGUAGAUAUCGGGAGGAACACCAGUGGCGAAGGCGGCCACCUGGACGGUGACUGACGCUGAGACGCGAAAGCGUGGGGAGCAAACAGGAUUAGAUACCCUGGUAGUCCACGCCGUAAACUUUGGGUGCUAGGCGUCGCGGGUAUUGACCCCCGCGGUGCCGCAGCUAACGCGUUAAGCACCCGCCUGGGGAGUACGGUCGCAAGACUAAA
rnacentral:rRNA from 1 species